GCCGGUGUCGCAUAGUGGUCGAUUGCACCUGACUUGUAAUCAGGAAGGGUAACCUCUCGGGGGUUCGACUCCCUCCACCGGCU
rnacentral:tRNA from 1 species